rnacentral:rRNA from 1 species
UACGGAGGGUGCAAGCGUUGUCCGGAUUCAUUGGGUUUAAAGGGUGCGCAGGCGGGAGAUUAAGUCAGGGGUGAAAGACGGUUGCUCAACAAUCGCAGUGCCCUUGAUACUGGUUUUCUUGGGUGACCUUGAGGUAGGCGGAAUGGGUGGUGUAGCGGUGAAAUGCAUAGAUAUCGGAAGGAACAUCAGUGGCGAAAGCGACUUCCUGGACCAGUACCGACGUUCAGGCACGAAAGCGUGGGGAGCAAACAGG